GACGUCGAAGGAUCGACGAAGGCUGCCAGGGAUGGAAGCUAGGGACUGUCGCAGGAUCGCGGCAUCAUCAGGACGAUGGCCCACGGAAGAAGGGAAAAACGAAAAGCGCCAAGGUAGCCCCUUGGCGCUUUUCGU
rfam:Azotobacter vinelandii DJ, complete genome.